ACGGAAGGCAGCAGUGGGGAAUAUUGCACAAUGGGCGCAAGCCUGAUGCAGCGAUGCCGCGUGAGGGAAGAAGGUUUUCGGAUUGUAAACCUCUGUCAUCGGGGACGAUAAUGACUGUACCCGAGAAGGAAGCUCCGGCUAACUACGUGCCAGCAGCCGCGGUAAUACGUAGGGAGCGAGCGUUAUCCGGAAUUACUGGGUGUAAAGGGAGUGUAGGCGGGUCUGUAAGUCUGAUGUGAAAUAUACCGGCUCAACUGGUAGACUGCAUUUGAAACUACGGUUCUUGAGUGAAGUAGAGGUAAGCGGAAUUCCUAGUGUAGCGGUGAAAUGCGUAGAUAUUAGGAGGAGCAUCAGUGGCGAAGGCGGCUUACUGGGCGUUAACUGACGCUGAGGCUCGAAAGCGUGGGGAGCAAACAGGAUUAGAUACCCUGGUA
rnacentral:rRNA from 1 species